rnacentral:rRNA from 1 species
GAUGAACGCUAGCGGCAGGCUUAACACAUGCAAGUCGAGGGGCAGCGCGGGAUAGCAAUAUCCUGGCGGCGACCGGCGGAAGGGUGCGUAACGCGUGAGCGACAUGCCCGUUGCCCGGGGACAACCGGUGGAAACGCCGACUAAUCCCCGAUGGGAUAUUGUGCCGCAUGGCACGAUAUUGAAAGUUACGGCGGCGACGGAUUGGCUCGCGUCCGAAUAGCUUGUUGGCGGGGUAACGGCCCACCAAGGCUACGAUCGGUAGGGGUUCUGAGAGGAAGGCCCCCCACAAUGGGACUGAGACACGGCCCAUACUCCUACGGGAGGCAGCAGUGAGGAAUAUUGGUCAAUGGGCGGAAGCCUGAACCAGCCAUGCCGCGUGCGGGAAGGAGGCCCUAUGGGCUGUGAACCGCUUUUGCCUGGGGGCAAUAAGGGCGUCGCGCACGUCCGAUGAGAGUACCAGGCGAAUAAGCAUCGGCUAACUCCGUG